rnacentral:rRNA from 1 species
AGAGUUUGAUCCUGGCUCAGGGUUAACGCUGGCGGCGUGCGUAACACAUGCAAGUCGGACGGGUUAUAGAUCUUCGGAGAUAUAACCAGUGGCGAACGGGUGAGUAAAAGGUAGGGACCUGCCCUAAGGACAGAGAUAGCUACUGGAAACGGUAGGUAAACUCUGAUAAGCCCGAGAGGGGAAAGUGGUAGACAGCCUUAGGAUGGACCUACUAUCCAUCAGGUAGUUGGUGAGGUAAAGGCUUACCAAGCCGAUGACGGAUAACCGGUGUGAGAGCAUGGACGGUCACAAGGGCACUGAGACACGGGCCCUACUCCUACGGGAGGCAGCAGUGGGGAAUCUUGGACAAUGGGCGAAAGCCUGAUCCAGCGACGCCGCGUGAAGGAAGAAGUCCCUCGGGAUGUAAACUUCUGAACUAAUNGAAUAAAAGGGUAGUGGACACACUACAGAAGAAGGUAGGUUAGGAAAAGUCCCGGC